UACGUAGGGGGCAAGCGUUGUCCGGAUUUAUUGGGCGUAAAGAGCGUGUAGGCGGUUUGGUAGGUCCGUUGUGAAAACUCGAGGCUCAACCUCGAGACGCCGAUGGAAACCAUCAGACUAGAGUCCGGAAGAGGUGAGUGGAAUUCCUGGUGUAGCGGUGAAAUGCGUAGAUAUCAGGAGGAACACCUGUGGCGAAAGCGGCUCACUGGACCAUAACUGACGCUGAUGCACGAAAGCUAGGGGAGCAAACAGG
rnacentral:rRNA from 1 species